UUUUUUUCUAAAGCCCCACAACUAGCUAUCUUAUAGCAGAUAAGGCAAGCCUACUCAACUAAUCUCAUGUAAACGCCUGUUCGCUAAAAUCCAAAUAGAAAAAGACAACUACUUAUUAAACAUGUAGUUGAGUGCUCCGUCGUUGUUCGGAUCUUGACCGAGUCCGAGCUUCCCAAGCUCUAUGCUGUUUGGGAACUCAGCAAGGGUCUUACCACCUUCUUGAUUGACUAUAUUUGAGUCUUUGGGGUACUUUAGGAUUAUAUUCCGCGCCGAAGAUUUGUGCUUGUGGGCUAGGGUGAAUAUAGCGGACCAGCGGAUCUGGUAGUUGACAAUCGUUCGGACUUGGUAAAGGUUGUCGCAGCACCUGUAGUAGGACAGAGGACUUAUCGCGAUGCCCGCGGACCAAUUUACUAUGUCUCUGUCACUGACGUUGGUCAAAGAGGCCACGUGGAUUGGCCUGGGUCUUCUUCGGCUAAUGAGACCUCGAUCCCGAAGCCUUCGUAGUAUCUUUUUGAUAGGCGCCUCUAUCUGUAUGGGGAAUUCGCUGCUGAAAGAUCCCGCCUAGUGUCCCCUUCCUUCCCCCGCCGCCUUCCGACCAAAGGGAGUAUACAAUUUCUUCUUCAGGACACUCAUGCCCGAUCGUGAGACUGCCUGUUGAACGCCUGAUGGCACCUUGCUCUGACCUGAGCUAUGCAACAACGAGAUCCCCCUCGAUCUUUGCCGGAUGUGCUUGACGGUCCCCCAUAAUACGCUAACUUGGGGACUUUUUAGUCCAUCUUUUCCAAGAGUCUCCACUAGUUGAACUGCGUCCAGUAGACGACCUCUUCCGCUCAUCCCCUUCGUAAGCUCUUUGAUAGGGAUACUAUAACCUAGGUCCCUAAACUUGGAAUGGAUGGCGGAGCGUAGGUGGCAGGCAGUUAUAUGGAUACGGUGCUUUACCCGUAGACGCUUCUCCAGCUCUCGCAAGAAUUGUAUGGGAGUCGUCCUCGGGGGGACUUCCCGAAUGACCAUAUCGGGGAAUUCUACCGUACUCCGUGCAGCUAUGGUUGUUGAUCCUGCGGAGCCUACCCAAAGGUUCAGACCGGAUUGUAGGAAGUGGGUGAUACGUUUUUGUAUUUCUAUGAGAAGAAAUACGGCACCCACGAUUCCCAGUAGUAAGUCGUCGGCAUAUUGCGCGUAACAAAUCCUUAUUAAUAAGGAAUGGCUUUUAAAGGGGGCCAGCUUACGGGCCAGGCCUCUCUCUGACCUGAUAACUAGUAUCGCCUCCCCGCCCAGCUCUAUCACCAGGCCCCUUCUUUUGCAAUACUUAAGAAGGUCUCUCAUGGCCAAAUUCUUAUUAAAGCCUUCUCUAGCAUUGAAUUCGGCCUUCGGGUCAACCCAACGGCUUCUAUGAGGAAGGCGGCGCAAAGGAGGCUCGAGGGCUUGUUAAGGAAGGCGGCUAGGGCCGCUGAAGGGGGGAAAACGAAAGGCGUUUUCUGGUCUCCCCUUCGCCUGGGGGUGCUUGUGGAGGGGGGGGGUGUGCCAUGACGAAACAAGGGAAUGAAAGGUCGCUUUGCGUUGGAUGCUAUUUACCCUCCCCACUAUGAGGGCUCUGUUGUCUUGGGGAGCGUUGAAGCUUGCUUCUUUUCCAUACUUUUCUUGGUCAUCAAUACGACGACCUAUUCUUAAUAGAACCGAUCUUAUUUUCACUACAAGAGGAAUUUCGUGCUUCUGCCGGAUCCUCCCUAUCUCCUGAUCGAGCUUGUGUAGGUAGAUAUUGCCUGGUAGGGCCGAUAGUAGUACACUGUUUGGGAUGGAGUCAGGGCCCUUCUCACCCCCUACGAGUCGUCCGGCGGAAAACUUUUUCUGAGUGGGGUAUAAGAACUUGGAAUCGUCGAUCUCUUCCUUCAAGAUUGAGAUGAAUCGAUGUCGGUGGAUGGUGUGAAAACACUUCCUGAUGUCGAAUUCCAAAAACCAGCGAGAGGUUCCCCACUCUUCUUUGAUCCGUCUGAGGGCCGAGUGGCAGCCUCGACCCGAGCGGAAGUGCGAUGUGUCUGGAAACUCGGGAUCGUAAAUGGAUUCGGGUACCAUUCUGAUCGCCUCUUUCAUGAUCUUUUCUAUGGGUAGAACUACUGUGAGCGGUCUAAACUUUGACCCUUCUUUCUUUCUUCAUUUAAAAAAGGGGGAGCAAAGCCUGUUUUUUUGCUCCCUCAAUUGAUAGAUCAGGGCCCCUCCUGCCGGCCCGAACGAAAGGCUCUUUAAGGAAGUAGUCCAUCACUCUCGGGCCCGGCACCAACCAAGAGGAGGCGGGGCUCUCUCCAAUCAUUCCGAAGAGCCGAGAGCUCGUAAAGGAAAAAUUAGCUAGCUCAGCAGGUUUGGACCCGGGUGAAUCAGUUCAGUGAAGGAAGGGAGCCCAAACUUAAGGCUUUUCCAAGCCUUGCCGAUAGGCACCUCAUGGCUCGCUCAGUUCGCUCGCGGAGUUCUUAGAUCAAUAGAUCUGGAUAGAGUCUCGCUCAUAAAGGAAGAGUAGCGCGCUAGCGCGGCUCGCUUCGCUUUUCGACGCGGAGCUCGCUGCUGUCUUUUUAGCUUCAAAACUACAGGGCGUGCGUUAGCACUACGGCUUUUCAGCCUCCCUUUGCUGGUUCCGAACUAUCACUGAUCCUAGAGAUCAACCUUCAAACCUUUUUCUUUGAAUCUCAGGAAGGCUUUCUCGGGGAGAAAGCUGGUUGGGGAACUGCUAAACGACCUAAAAGAAAAAGAGGAGACUGACUCUGACCUUUCAAAGCCCUAUCUCAUCUGGUUGAUAGUAGAAGGUACGUACGAUGAUACCAUGGACAUAAACGAGGUCGAGCAUAUCUUUAAUGAUUUCAAACUAAAGCGUACCUAAAGCCUGCCCUGGAUAUGAAAAAGGGAUUUGAGCCAGAAGAAGAUGAGGAUCUAUCACCAGAUGAGGAAAUGGAAACAACUAAGUAUUAGUUAGGUUUAGGUUCAGGAAAUGGAAAUGGUAACAGCGGCCCAAAAAUGGUAAGGUUUUCUUUUCAAAGAAAAAGGAACGCAAAAGUUUUGCGAAAUCCUUAUCUUUCGGCUUUUUAAAGAAGAUAGGCCAUUACAAAAACAAGGUAUAACAGUCGACUUUCCUAUCAGAAUUUUACAACCUGAAUACCAAGGGACCACUAUUAGAAGAGAGCAUAAUAAGUAAAUGCCGACGCCAUCUUUGACUUUUUGGAUGGUCGGCGGCGCCAUAAACUCGAUAACCAGCACCGCGGAGUCAAGAAAUUCAACUAAAUAGAAUCCUAAAACAAUCUUAUUCGAGCACACACGGGACCCACAGCAAUGAAAUUCACACAAGCGGCAAUCAUCCGAGGAGAGAAUGGAGAAGGGAAAUAUACUUGAAAUUGUUUUUUUCCAAAUGAGAAAGCCUUUGGCAAACUCCUUGCAAAUCUGUUUUUGCUGGGCACAAUAGACAUAUCUGCUCAGUCACAACAUAAGGAACCCCCAAUGUUCCUCAAAGCCUACCCGGCCUGACAGCUUUAGUUGAAUGAUCUGAUCCCGAAGCAAGCUUUCUACUUAAAUUGCUAUGACUGGCCAACUAAUGAUAGGACUACCUAUCUUGAUGCUUUGAAUCUGUAUUCAGAGCUUUUUUCCAACUACCAGGACUACUAAUUUCAAGUACAAAGCUCUCCUAUGAAUAUGCUACUGCUCUUACUUUCUACCUGAAUCCGAGCAUUGAAGCAAGCUCUUUAUCGCGCCAUAACCAAGUCUCUCCUUGCAGCUCUGACCAAUCCACCUGUCAUUGCAAAUAACUGCUCCUUACUCUUUGAUUGUAUGUCCAUUUUUGCUUGAUGUCUGGCUCACCGGAUCUGGUACAUGAAAAAGCCAUUCCUUUUCGCUUUCCUUCAACCACUCAGUAUACUUUUUGACUGGAAGAGUCAAGCGAAAGCAAUUAGUUCAGAAGGAAGAGGAAGACCUAGGGGGCUUACGUCCUCAUUUCACUCUUUUUGCUCCUGCGAGACACGACUCAACUACUUUUUACAAUUGACAGGGUAGCCCGGAGGUCAGAUGAAGGGUCUUCCCCAUAAAGAUAGAUUAGUACUUGGAAGGUUCAGAUGAAGGAAGGGCUGAAACAAGGAAAAAACUAUUCAAUGGGGUAAAUAAAUAUGAGCAAUCCGUGAGAAUAGCAAACCCCUAUCUCUUAAAAAGAAGAAGAUAGAUAGGUCCACGGGUUGAGACAGAGAAGUUCUAACUAAUCAAGUAGGAGUUUACCCACGAGAGUCAGAGGCUGCAUCAUCAAAGGGGUAUAGAAAUAAUUCAGAAGCACUAUGGCCUGAAGCGAAGGGCAGGAACGAACGGAAUCAAUGUGUUCCAAUCUAUCCGGAGUAAGGACAGCAGCUGAGAAGGGACAAAAAAAUAGCGUAGACAAAAGGUAGGACCAGAUCAUGCAAAGAGCUCUUCGCCCUAUUGAUUAGGAAUCUCGAUCAGAAACCACCAGGCCAUGUCUCCCGAUAAAAGAUGAUCCCCACAAUGGAUGUCAGGCCUUGGCUUUAUAAAAUCUGAUUGGAUCCGCACUAGAGGAUAAGAAUACAGAUAGGCUGACUAAGAAGAUCUUCAAAUUGUCUUACCUGAAAAGAUGAGUUAUUCAAAGGAAUACCUGAAGAAUAGAAUAGAAUAGAAUAAACACAUGGCACAGCUGGGUGCUAGAAUAGUAGUUGAUAGAAGUUCUAGUCACUUAAAAAAAAUAACCACUGCUUAACUUAAUUAGAUCGAUGAAGAUAAGCAAGCGGGUUCGGGCAGUUAGUCCUAUUUGAAGGUAAGAAGUUCGGGUAGUAAGGGCUAGGUUUAUAUAGGGGCUAUAUUUUUGAUAAACAAAUGGUCUUGCUCAUUUCUCAUCAAGGAAUGGAGAUUGGGUUGGUGUUUGGAAGGGGGAUUCAGUAAACUGACCUUGGCCAGCAAGCAGAAAAAGGACUGACGUCUUGGGGCGCGCUAGCGCGCGUACUCUUCUUCUGCGAGACUCCAUCCAAAUCCACCACUUACUUGUUGGUUGGUGUUCCAUUCUGUUAUCUUAGACUAUGCUGCCUUCUUCAAUUCCAUUCUUCGUCUCCCUAGUCGAAGUCUUCUUGCUGGCCCUACCCAACAUGCAUUUUAGAGUGCCGUGCCAGGGCGAUAGGCGCUCCGCCAGUCACGCAUGAUUGCCAGAGCCUUUCUUGGCUAUGUAAAUAUAGGGCCGGAAUAAGUGCAAGAUCCUCAACAAAAUGGAUUAAGGUGGGCUUCGGAUUUUUCAUAAUUUUUUUUCUAUCUUUUCAUCAAGUUCUUGUUUGAUCUGCCGCUAUUAUCACAAUAUCCCUCCUUUUAGGGUUAAUGCUAUCAAUGGUGAAUCGAUCAUUCGCUAUCCUUUUUUUAGAAGAGCUUUUUUGAAUGGAAGAAAAGUAGUGAAACCCGCGAUGGCUACUGAAUAACCUCCUUUGAUUUUUUUUAUAAUAAAUCCUUUGACCUUUUUCUUCGUUCGCCAAAUCUUCUUCAGUUCUAUCCAAGCUCGGUUUUGUCUGAAUCUUUGUGGAAGAAGAAGCGGUUCGCCAGCCGCUACAUCCAGGGAUCCCACAAAAUCAUUAAACCUGGCGGCUGCUCGCUCUUUGAUCAGUGAUUCACCGGCCACUAGAUCGAUGAAGAAUCUCUCAAAAAUCCGCUUUUUGAUCAGUGAUUCACCAGCCACUACAUUCUUGGAUCCCACCUUAUUCUCAAACCUGGUGGCUCGCUUGAUUGGCAGUCCUGUAAGCUCAUCUUGCAUACAAAUUUUGGGGGUACCAGGGCCUGCAUCCACCAAGAACAUUUCUUCCCUUAAGCGUAAGCGUAAAACUGAAGAUUGUGAGGCGUUUCCACUACAUAAUAAGAAACUAGAAUUAGAUCUUGGAAAUGAUCGACUCCAAUAGAUGCUCAUCAUAAGCUUUUUUUUCCUCCUAUUCCUAUUGAUCAGAAGUAUCCAGCAGCGCCACACCAGAGUGACUUCCGAAGCGCUACGGACGGGACGAAAUCCGGCAGCCAGUUGCUGGCUCUGAAUAACCAGCCCAGCAAGAAGCUAAAUUCUUCCAUAACAUAACAUAACGGGGCGGGGUUGCGCGCGAGCCGAGUGACGUAGGUGCACAAGAGUACUUCGCGCCACAACCAUCUCUUUUUUAUAGGUUCUACGGACCGAUGCCUCCUGCUUCAUCUGGUAAAAAAGAGUCAUAGAUAUGCCUGUAAUUAGAAGGAAGAACCGCCAUAAAAAUCUUCCUCGUGUAUCGUCUGUAGCGGAACUAUGAACGGGAGCUAGCAAUCCGGACCGUAUUGAAAAGGUUCCUAAGACACAGCAUGGAAGAGUCAAAAUAUUCAGAAGCGAGGUCCAAGAAUGAAGAAGGGUAGAAUUACUGAAUGAAUACGAGCUGUGGCUAAUACCCAAGGCAUAAAAGACGCAUUUUCUACGAGAUCCCGAAACCACCAGCCACCCCGACCUAAUUCAUGAUGAGCCCACCAACUUCCUGGCGUGAUGCCUACGGUUAAAAACAACCGACAUGUCAAGAUCCAAAUUCGAAUUGGUUCCUGGUCCUGGUCAGAGACCACCGUGUUCGCGCCGGCGGUCCAACAAAGAGGCGAAGUAGUGGUGUCUUUCUUUCCAUUACGAAUGACACACUUCGCCUGCUCCCUCCCCGUGUCCAUUAGCGCUCCUGUCCAGAGCGAAGAGAAGGCGAAAAAGCGCCGCCGAAGCUGCAUGAGCAGGCUUCUAUUGCUACGCAACAAUAGAGUAGGCGCGCCGCCCACAAAAUGUUUGAAUGAUCGGGUAAAGAGCGAGCUUCUUAUAUGGGAUCCGACGCAUCCAGCAGAGCGAAGAAGCGUUCCAUUCUUUUCGGCGGCAUCCUUCCGCAUUGGCGGCGAGUGGAGUGCCACAAUCCCAUUCAUCAUUUUUGAUCUACAUAACCCAAAGCCCAUAGCACUGGCGACAUCUCCGGCAUAAAUGCAAGGAGGAUGUAUAGCUGAUAUAGGAUCUUGUGGAACUGGAUUUGAUUCUGCAAGCGGUUCGGUACGAACGAAGAAAUUUCGAACAAAAGGAUCGGAACUCGCUGAUAGGAAAGGAGAGAAAAACAAAGCAAUGCCAAGAGCUCCGUCAAUCUGCUGUUCAUCGAUAGACGAAGCUCUCUCUUUUUCAUCUCGUGCCAGAUGUAACAAAAGAUUAGUCCUUUUUCCUUCUCGCGAACCACGGGAGCGCCCAGCGCCCAGAAGAGCAAAGCUCAUUUUCAAAACAGGGUCAAGCAGCGCAUUAAAAAGGGCUGGCCCAUUAAAAGGACGCUUACUUUGCGAACGAAGUUCAGAAUCAACAAGGGUUCUCCGAACGAAGGGAGUGUACAACUGGGGCGCAGCCCAACUUUUUUGUUGGAGAGAUAGAAUGGAGUUCUUCACGAAGUUCGAGACAAAGGAAAAAAUCAAAGUUUCUCUAUAGCCUCUUCGUUUUGAGACAUUAUGGCUUUGGGGUCGACCCCGGUAACAAAAAAGGAAUCCAUAAAAACUGGGGAUCCAACACCAUGAUAAAAUACUACCCUCAUGAUUAGACCAUGUCCCUGAGAUUUGAAUAAAAAAAGGUGCAUUAGCGGUUAAUACGUUGUAAUUAGAUAAGUUAUUUGGAAUAUGAUGGAACGAAAGACCAAGGAAAGGAAGAAGAAUGCACCAAAAUGCAAGUGCUGCACCAAAUGCUGGUGGUUGUUUCUUGUUGUAAGUGAAUGCAACGAAAAGACCCAGAAAUAACGAAUAAUGAGAAAAUUCAUUUAUAGACAUUUCAUGCUCAUUUCCAAAUUUAUGCUUAGUUAUUCCCAUCAUCCGGUAACCACAGGAUGAUCCCAAUCUCCUUUUAGUAAUAGAUCUUUUUGAUAUGUCUCAGUCUCAACGGCAAGGAAGAGAAAAUGCAUCGAGUCGUUUAUCAAGAAAGUGGACGAGCAUGGCGGUCCCUAUAUCUCUGAGGGGUGUACCACUUUUUUUUUUCAAGUCAGCUUAAGAGGUUCAAAAGAGAAAGUCACUCUCCUUAUUCUUGGCUAGUGGAAUGGAAGCAAGACUCUUUCCUAUCCACUUUGCCGAGGGGAGAGAACUCAAAGAUAACUCAAGCUAGACAGAAAGGUGCAAAAGUCCAAAGUUUCUUAAGGAUCCUGUAAGCAAGUAGGUUAAGAUUGUCAUUUAGCUUCAAUUUCUUCAGUCACACAAGCGGGUCCGCGUGCAACAAAAGAAAUUGUAUUUUCCUACUACUCCGACCUUGCCCUGAAAGGAUAAGGAAAUUGGAUAAGAGCAAGAGCUAGACUGACUGUUGGUCCAAUGCUAGUGGAGGAUUCAGACUGAGGACCCCCUGUGGCGGCUACUCAUAAGAAGAUGAAGGAUUGAAAGAGGACUGAUCACCCCUCUGAUUUGUGAUCUUUUAAUAGAAAGAAAAAGCCUUCUCUCAGACUUAAAGGUAAAUGAAAGCGGGAUUUUUUUUCUCUCCUCUAAGCUAGCAGCAAGUCAAGUAAUCUGAGAAUGCUGCCCCCAAUCCGUAGCUGAGGACGAACUCAACUCAUAAGCUUUUUUUGAACCAAGCACCUGUUGUAGAAAUGAAAAACCACCCACUAGCAGAGGCUGGAACAACCCAUAGAAGUGUAGGGGCUGCUUCAACCAGGCGUACCCGUAUCCAUUGAUUUACCUCCUCUAGAGAGUAUUGAACUUUGUGACAAAUAGGUUAUAGUUACACUCCUUAACUCCCUAUUCGCAAGAUAUAAAAGCUAGCUAGUAAGAAGACUUUCCCUUCUUUUCUGGGAGGGUGAGAACUUGAAAGACUGGCAGAGAAAAGGAAGAAAAGCGGCUAAUGCUAUCUAAACGAUUAUUUCAAAGUUUACCAAGUUCGAUCGUUCACGAGAUAGGGGACUCUUUUAAAUAAGACAGUGUAUGGCUGUGAAUAAGUCUAUUCGGCAAGUCAUAGAGAAGGACUGGAUAUAAGCUAUUCCCGGUUCUUCAUUGGAUCCUUUUAGUUUAAUAUUACUUUUUGGAAGCAAUCUCAUAAUAAUAUGUAUUAGGGACAGCAUUUAGGAUAGCAAAAGCAUUUUUGGAGCAAGAGGGAUUACCUUCCAGAUUCUUUUGUGAUACCCUCUGUGUCGCCUUCUCCUGGAUGGUCAGCCCAGUGUCCUGAAUCCUUGAGCUCUUCCUCAUGGCUUUGACUGGUGACUUACAUUUCAUCUUAUUUGCAGCUCUCUUGGUCCUUGGAUAUGAUGUCUUCUGCCACUCUCCUUGGUGGCUAUUCUCCACCAUCUCAGUCCCCUCUGAGGUCAGCUGAAUCUGAUCAGUGGCUGUCUCUGCCUAAUCCACCAAGUGUGUACAAGACAAGAUCUUUGUCUGUCACAGGUUCUCCUGCUGCUGCAAGUUGAUCAGACUGGAAUUUGAUCCUGUGCAGAUAAUCUUGAGCAGUCUGGGAUCCUUUCUUGAUCGUUUGGAUCUGAAUACGCAACUCAAUUAUUUGAGCAUUUGUCAUACAACCAAGACUUCUGGUUUUUUUUCAGGUUUUCUCCCUUUUCUACGAAGGUUUGCUGCUCCGCCUGCACCAGUGAAUUAUUCUAUUCUUCUCCUUUGGUUCAGUCUGUGGGGAAAUCAGAAUUCACCAUUGAAUCCUGUGGAUCAGCUCCCUUACAUAAUAAUAUUUCACUGUAUCAGCUACGAGGGGAAAAUCUGAAAGACAGAGGAUAGAGAGUGAGAGAAAGAGUGUGAGACUUGUGCCGCUCUCCAUUUCGAGGGGAUUUCGACGAUUCUGGGGUGAUUGAACUAUUUCUUUACCUGUUCAAUUUCUAACGAAUCAAGAUAUCCUCUUGUUCCGGUAUAAAUAGUAGCUAUCUGCUCUUCCACUGGGAGAGGAUUUGCCUGGGAUUGUUUAAGCAAUUCCCUUAAUCGUCGACCCCUUGCCAAUUGAUUCUGACUUGUUUUAUCGAGAGCAGAGGCGAAUAAUAGGCUUGUCACUCUGCGAAUUGAGCUAGUUCCAAUUUGGAUUUGCCAGCUACUUGUUUCAUGGCUUUAAUUUGAGCCGCGGAUCCUACUCUGGAAACUGAAAUACCCACAUUAAUAGCGGGUCGAAUUCCGGCAUGGAAUAGAUCCGCAGAUAAGAAUAUUUGUCCAUCUGUAAUGGAGAUUACAUUAGUAGGAAUAUAGGCGGAAACGUCUCCAGAUUGAGUCUCAACUAUUGGUAAAGCGGUCAUACUUCCUUCGCCUAAAAGAGAAUUUAAUUUCGCGGCUCUUUCUAAAAGGCGUGAAUGCAAAUAAAAAACAUCCCCUGGAUAAGCCUCACGGCCGGGACUUAAUAGAAGGGACAUUUGGCGAUAAGCUUGUGCUUGUUUGGAGAGAUCAUCAUAAAUUAUUAAAGUAUGCCAUUCGCGGUACAUAAAAUACUCAGCCAGGGCUGCUCCCGUAUAAGGAGCGAGGUAUUGUAAGGUAGCAGGUGAAUCCGCCAUUUCAGCUACUACAAUAGUGUAUUCCAUGGCCCCCUCCUCAUGGAAAGUAGUUACUACUUGAGCUACGGAGGAUGCUCUUUGACCGAUAGCUACAUAAACACAUAUUACACCUUGCCCUUUUUUCUUGAGAAUUGUAUCUGUGGCUACUGCUGUUUUGCCUGUCUGUCUGUCCCCAAUAAUGAACUCUCGCUGACCGCGCCCUAUAGGGAUCAUCGAAUCGAUAGCAAUAAGCCCUGUUUGAAGAGGUUCGUAUACGGAACGCCUGGAAAUUCUACUUGGAGCAGGAGAUUCAAUUAAGCGAGAUUCGGAAGCUACAAUUUCGCCUCUCCCAUCAAUAGGUUUAGCCAGAGCAUUUAUAACGCGACCCAAGUUAUAUACGCUCACGGGUAUCUGAGCAAUUCUUCCUGCUGCUUUUACAAAACUUCCCUCUUGAUGCUAAACCAUAGCUCUAACUGAGUAAAAUUCCACAAUUUCUAAGAACGAUAUGCUUUUUUGCAUUUUCCACUGUGAAAGCUUCUCUCAAUCCCUCCCUAGUCCUUUCUUUCCUGGGCACAGGCUUACCUGGUUGACCGCCCACAUUCAUUCAUUGUUCGUUCUGUUGUGGAAUCGAACCACAGAGCUAGCGCAAUUGGGAUUUAGAGUCCCAUGCGUGAAACUAAAGAGGAUUUUCAGUCCUCUGCUCUACCAGCCAGAACCUAGAAGGACACUUCACACCCGAUUUGACACAGCUAGACUGGAAACACUGCUUGUCAAGAGCACAGACCCCAGUAUAGAAUACUUUUUUGAGUAUGUUGGUAAGGUCCGGUCAUCCGCUUCUGUGCUUGCACUUCUGCGUAACUAGGGGUGCAAGUCCAGUACAGCGUACUUUCAUAAUUGAAUCAAAAGCAUCGAUACAUGAAAAAUCUCUAUAUACGAUAUUUAUGACACAGAAUGUUGUUCUUUCAACAUGAUUCGUCAACAAUUUUGUCAUUGUAACUGACUCUCCGUUCUCUCCGUUCCACUUUGGUUUUCAACUAAUAAUUACCAUGAUGAAUUUCUCUUACUGCUUGGUUCCGCAUUGGAUUUUGGAAACUUUUGUUUAGAAAGUGGUGUCACGACCGUGGGGAUCAAAUGAAUGGUUCAGGAAAGUCUAGUGAAGCGGCACGGUCUAAUCAUAUAGAUGACCAUAGUGGUAUGGUUCCAUAGAAAACUACUGGAGGCCAUUACCGCCACCGAAAUGGUUUCCAUGCUCCGUUGGAUGAUUUGACGAUAUCGCAAUAUCAAGCUAGAACGGUUUCAAUUUGUUGGACGGGAAAGAAACCUCAUCCUUUGGUGCACACUAACCGAUGAAGCUCAACCCUCUCUCGAACUGAGCUAUUUCCGCUUUUUCGAACAAAAAGUUCGAGUAGUUCAGUGAAAAAACGGUCAAGCUUUCUUCCAUCCUUCCUAGCUCCUCGAGCUUGCACCCGCUCGACGCCUUUUUCAUUGUUCGUUCUGAGGUGGAUUCGAACCACUCUCUCCAUUUGGAUUUCGAGUCCAAAAGGCCCGGCGAAAGAGGAUUUUCAGUCCUAUGCCCGCUGCCAGCUAGAACGGGAUUUUUCCACUUCACACCCACACAAUGGGAUUUGAUGAAAUAGCUACGUUUUUUUCUUAUUUGAUUCGGAUACUGUCAAUCUACUGUCCAUCUUUCUCUUUAGUUUUCUCCUUUCUUUCUCCUCAACCUAUCUCCAUUGGAUGGACUUACGAAAGAAUAAUAUCUAAUCUCCCCAUCGCGGUUAGGAUCCCAUGAACCAGGAGCGCCAGCACCGGUUCCUCGAUCUUCCUACUGGAGGCAUGGUCAUGGCUUUCAUUCAUUCAUUUCAUUCUUUGUUCUGUUGUGGAAUCGAACCACUCAAAGGAUUUAGAGUCCUUUUACCAACCAGUCAGAACCAAUAUUUCUCUGUUAUAUUCUGUUUUUUCUUUGUCAGCUAGCACAAUUUGGAUUUCGAGUCCAAUGCGCUAACGCUUUCUUUAGUUUUCUUGCUCUUUCUCCGGGCUUUGACCAUGUCUCCCGAACAAUUUCAGUAC
rnacentral:lncRNA from 1 species